rnacentral:rRNA from 1 species
UACGUAGGGGGCAAGCGUUGUCCGGAUUUACUGGGCGUAAAGCGCCUGUAGGCGGCCUGUCAAGUCCGGCCUGAAAGCCCCCCGCUCAACGGGGGAGGGUGGCUGGAAACUGGCAGGCUUGAGGGCGAGAGAGGAGGGUGGAAUUCCAGGUGUAGCGGUGAAAUGCGUAGAUAUCUGGAGGAACACCGGUGGCGAAGGCGGCAUCCUGGACCGGCAUUGACGCUCAUGCACGAAAGCGUGGGGAGCAAACAGG